rnacentral:rRNA from 1 species
AAUGGCCCACUGAUGUUGAAUUGAAGGGCCGCGGUAUUUUGACCGUGCGAAGGUAGCAUAAUCAUUAGUCUUUUAAUUGGAGGCUUGUAUGAAUGGUCGGACAAAAAGUUAACUGUCUCAUUUAUAUAAAUUGAAUUUAACUUUUAAGUGAAAAGGCUUUUUGUACUGAGGGG